UCUUCUUUCUUCCUCCCUUAUCGCGUCUCCUCCUUCACUCUCACUUCUCUCAAACCUAAUCUAGAAGGUUCACUAAAGAUUUAGCAACCAAUCUGUACUCAUUUCAUUCUUGUGCUGAAAGAUUGCACUUAGCCAAAUCCCCCUUCUUCAAUCUUGGCAGUUUACACAUCGUCAACGAUUUGAACCAAAAAACCCCAAAUCCAUAGCCUACGGAUGCUUGGAUCUCAAUUGCAAUACAAAAACAGAGUCGUUCUGUGAGGUUAUAAGAUCAUUCUACAGUAUAAAAUGACAGAGAAAUGCAUCCAAACACAAGCCAUAGGGUGGAGUUGAGAAGCAAGAACAAAUUGUCCUGCCAUGAGAGCUGCUGCUAAAUUCAAUUGCCCAAGAAGUUGAAUUGUAUUUAUGUUGUGUUUACCAUGUAACCUUGGCUAUAUAUAUACACAAAGGAGUGUAGAAUCAAGUAGUACACUAAUAGGGUAAGAGGGUAAGUAAGACACUAAUAGCUUUGAAAGACUUUUCUCCAAAACCAUACGGCACAUUCAGAGCAAAAAACGCUGACAUGCCUCGAAAAUAGGAAUAGUUUCUAAAAUAUUACACGCAACUUUUGCGAGAUGGCAGAACUGGAAUAGUUUCUAACAAUUACCUAAAACGCUGCGUUUUCAAUUCCUUGGGCAGGCAGUAAUGUAUCUUGUAUCCUUUAGAAGUGUUUUCUCUCUUAUAAUAUGACAUAACUUUAAAAACA